GUGGGGAAUCUUCCGCAAUGGACGAAAGUCUGACGGAGCAACGCCGCGUGAGUGAAGAAGGUUUUCGGAUCGUAAAGCUCUUUCGUUAGGGACGAACGUGCUCUUUGUGAAUAAUGAGGAGUAAUGACGGUACCUAAAUAAGAAGCCACGGCUAACUACGUGCCAGUAGCCGCGGUAAUACGUAGGUGGCAAGCGUUGUCCGGAAUUAUUGGGCGUAAAGCGCGCGCAGGCGGGAUAUCAAGUCUGUCUUAAAAGUGCGAGGCUCAACCUCGUGAGGGGACAGAAACUGGGAUUCUUGAGUGUCGGAGAGGAAAGUGGAAUUCCAAGUGUAGCGGUGAAAUGCGUAGAGAUUUGGAAGAACACCAGUGGCGAAGGCGACUUUCUGGACGAUGUCUGACGCUGAGGCGCGAAAGCUAGGGGAGCGAACGAGAUUAGAAACCCGAGUAGUCC
rnacentral:rRNA from 1 species